rnacentral:rRNA from 1 species
GUUCAAGCGGUAGGAGAGCGUCGUAACCGGGCUGAAGUCGUACCGUAAGGAGCGGUGGACUGGUUACGAGUGAGAAUGUUGGCAUCAGUAGCGAGAUGUGGGUGAGAAUCCCACAGGCCGAAAACCUAAGGUUUCCUCAGGAAGGUUCGUCCGCUGAGGGUUAGUCGGGACCUAAGCCGAGGCCGAAAGGCGUAGGUGAUGGACAACUGGUUGAUAUUCCAGUACCACUACCAUCGUUAUUAUCGAUGGCGUGACGCAGGAGGAUAGUGUGUGCUAGCUAUUGGAUGCUAGUCUAAGCGUUUAGGCAGUGAGAGUAGGCAAAUCCGCUCUCAUAAUGCUGAGGCGUGAUGGGGAAGGUUC